GACAGAGGGUGCAAACGUUGUUCGGAUUUACUGGGCGUAAAGCGCGCGUAGGCGGCUUGGCAAGUCGGAUGUGAAAGCCCACGGCUCAACCGUGGAAGCGCAUCCGAAACUGCUUCGCUCGAGUCUCGGAGAGGAAGGUGGAAUGCUUGGUGUAGAGGUGAAAUUCGUAGAUAUCAAGCAGAACACCUGCGGCGAAGGCGGCCUUCUGGACGAUGACUGACGCUGAGACGCGAAAGCGUGGGGAGCAAACAGG
rnacentral:rRNA from 1 species